AUGGUCUUAGCUUGCUAAGGCCGAUGGCGACCGGCGCACGGGUGAGUAACACGUAUCCACCCUGCCGCUUACUCGGGGAUAGCCUUUCGAAAGAAAGAUUAAUACCCGAUGGUAUAAAGAGUUCGCAUGUUCUCUUUAUUAAAGAAUUUCGGUAAGCGAUGGGGAUGCGUUCCAUUAGAUUGUUGGCGGGGUAACGGCCCACCAAGUCUACGAUGGAUAGGGGUUCUGAGAGGAAGGUCCCCCACAUUGGAACUGAGACACGGUCCAAACUCCUACGGGAGGCAGCAGUGAGGAAUAUUGGUCAAUGGACGAGAGUCUGAACCAGCCAAGUAGCGUGAAGGAUGACUGCCCUAUGGGUUGUAAACUUCUUUUAUAAGGGAAUAAAGUGAGGGACGUGUCCCUUUUUGUAUGUACCUUAUGAAUAAGGAUCGGCUAACUCCGUGCCAGCAGCCGCGGUAAUACGGAGGAUCCAAGCGUUAUCCGGAUUUAUUGGGUUUAAAGGGAGCGUAGGUUGACAUAUAAGUCAGCUGUGAAAGUUUACGGCUCAACCGUGAAAUUGCAGUUGAUACUGUAUGUCUUGAGUGUACAAGAGGUGGGCGGAAUUCGUGGUGUAGCGGUGAAAUGCUUAGAUAUCACGAAGAACUCCGAUUG
rnacentral:rRNA from 1 species